rnacentral:rRNA from 1 species
AUACGGAGGGAGCAAGCGUUAUUCGGAAUCACUGGGCGUAAAGGACGCGUAGGCGGGUUUGUAAGUCAGGUGUGAAAUCCUACAGCUCAACUGUAGAACUGCACUUGAAACUACAGACCUAGAGUAUGAAAGGGGCAGAUGGAAUUAGUGGUGUAGGGGUAAAAUCCGUAGAUAUCACUAGGAAUACCGAAAGCGAAGGCGAUCUGCUGGGACAUUACUGACGCUGAGGCGUGAAAGCGUGGGGAGCAAACGGGAUUAGAAACCCUAGUAGUCC